rnacentral:rRNA from 1 species
UACGAAGGGGGCUAGCGUUGUUCGGAAUCACUGGGCGUAAAGCGCUUGUAGGCGGAUCGUUAAGUCAGGGGUGAAAUCCCGAGGCUCAACCUCGGAACUGCCUUUGAUACUGGCGAUCUUCGAGUCCGGGAGAGGUGAGUGGAAUUCCUAGUGUAAAGGUGAAAUUCGUAGAUAUUAGGAAGAACACCAGUGGCGAAGGCGGCUCACUGGCCCGGUACUGACGCUGAGGCGCGAAAGCG